rnacentral:rRNA from 1 species
UCCGGUUGAUCCUGCCGGACCUGACUGCUAUCGGAUUGAUACUAAGCCAUGCGAGUCAUUGUAGCAAUACAAGGCAUACGGCUCAGUAACGCGUAGUCAACCUAACCUAUGGACGGGAAUAACCUCGGGAAACUGAGAAUAAUGCCCGAUAGAACACUAUACCUGGAAUGGUUUGUGUUCCAAAUGAUUUAUCGCCAUAGGAUGGGACUGCGGCCUAUCAGUUUGUUGGUGAGGUAAUGGCCCACCAAGACUAUUACAGGUACGGGCUCUGAGAGGAGUAGCCCGGAGAUGGGUACUGAGACACGGACCCAGGCCCUAUGGGGCGCAGCAGGCGAGAAAACUUUGCAAUGUGCGAAAGCACGACAAGGUUAAUCCGAGUGAUUUGUGCUAAACGAAUCUUUUGUUAGUCCUAGAAACACUAACGAAUAAGGGGUGGGCAAGUUCUGGUGUCAGCCGCCGCGGUAAAACCAGCACCUCAAGUGGUCAGGAUGAUUAUUGGGCCUAAAGCAUCCGUAGCCGGCUCUGUAAGUUUUCGGUUAAAUCUGUACGCUUAACGUACAGGCUGCCGGGAAUACUGCAGAGCUAGGGAGUGGGAGAAGUAGACGGUACUCGGUAGGAAGUGGUAAAAUGCUUUGAUCUAUCGAUGACCACCUGUGGCGAAGGCGGUCUACUAGAACACGUCCGACGGUGAGGGAUGAAAGCUGGGGGAGCAAACCGGAUUAGAUACCCGGGUAGUCCCAGCUGUAAACUAUGCAAACUCAGUGAUGCAUUGGCUUGUGGCCAAUGCAGUGCUGCAGGGAAGCCGUUAAGUUUGCCGCCUGGGAAGUACGUACGCAAGUAUGAAACUUAAAGGAAUUGGCGGGGGAGCACCACAAGGGGUGAAGCCUGCGGUUCAAUUGGAGUCAACGCCGGA